GAUGAACGCUGGCGGCGUGCCUAAUACAUGCCAGUCGAGCGAACAGACGAGGAGCUUGCUCCUCUGACGUUAGCGGCGGACGGGUGAGUAACACGUGGAUAACCUACCUAUAAGACUGGGAUAACUUCGGGAAACCGGAGCUAAUACCGGAUAAUAUAUUGAACCGCAUGGUUCAAUAGUGAAAGACGGUUUUGCUGUCACUUAUAGAUGGAUCCGCGCCGCAUUAGCUAGUUGGUAAGGUAACGGCUUACCAAGGCAACGAUGCGUAGCCGACCUGAGAGGGUGGUCGGCCACACUGGAAGUGAGACGCGGUCCAGACGCCUACGGGAGGCAGCAGUAGGGAAUCUUCCGCAAUGGGCGGAAGCUUGACGGAGCAACGCCGCGUGAGUGAUGAAGGUCUUCGGAUCGUAAAACUCGGUUAUUAGGGAAGAACAAAUGUGUAAGUAACUAUGCACGUCUUGACGGUACCUGAUCAGAAAGCCACGGCUAACUACGUG
rnacentral:rRNA from 1 species